rnacentral:rRNA from 1 species
UAGUUCCUACGGGGGGCAGCAGUGAGGAAUAUUGGUCAAUGGGCGCUAGCCUGAACCAGCCAAGUAGCGUGAAGGAUGACUGCCCUAUGGGUUGUAAACUUCUUUUAUAUGGGAAUAAAGUGCAGUAUGUAUACUGCUUUGCAUGUACCUUAUGAAUAAGGAUCGGCUAACUCCGUGCCAGCAGCCGCGGUAAUACGGAGGAUCCGAGCGUUAUCCGGAUUUAUUGGGUUUAAAGGGAGCGUAGGCGGGUUGUUAAGUCAGCGGUAAAAGCCCGGGGCUCAACCCCGGCGAGCCGUUGAAACUGG